UGCCAGCCGCCGCGGUAACACGGGGGGCGCAAGCGUUAUUCGGAAUUAUUGGGCGUAAAGGGCGCGCAGGUCGUGUUUCGUAGCUUUUUGUUAAAUCCCCAUUGUUAAAAUGGGUCACGCGAAAAGAACGGUUACACUGGAGACUGAGAGAGGAAAGGGGAAUUUCUAGUGGAGAAGUUAAAUUCUUAGAUAUUAGAAGGAACACCAAAAGCGAAAGCACCUUUCUGGCUCAGAUCUGACACUGAGGCGCGAAGGCGUGGGGAGCGAAGCCGAUUAGAUA
rnacentral:rRNA from 1 species